UACUCCACUUCUGGAAUUUUUCUUCUCAAUGUUCUGCUUCUUUCAGGUGAAAAUUAUCUCAAUGAACGAGGAUGUCACUCUUAGAUCAGCCCUCGAUAGAAAUCUGAAGAGUGCUGUGACCGCUGCUUUCCUCAUGCUGCCCGAAAGCUUUUCUGAAGAAGACCUCUUCAUAGAGAUUGCUGGUCUCUCCUAUUCAGAUGAGAAAACUGAGGCCCAGAGUGGUUCCCUGUCUAAGGUCACUCAUCUGGUGCAUGAUGGACUAGUUUGAAUACCAGCUUUCUAAAGGUGACUUUCGGAUGGUGGUUGGAGAAGAUAAAACAAAAGUGUUGAAUAUUGUGAAGCCCAAUAUAGCCCACUUUCGAGAGCUCUAUGGCAGCAUACUACAGGAGAAUCCUCAAGUGGUGUAUAAAAGCCAGCAAGGCUGGCUGGAGGUAAACUGUAUGUGGAAAAUAGCUUGUAUUGUUUCUAAGACAAGGGCUAUUUGCAGGAGGAAAGUCAGGGGUAGAACAGCAUGAGUGAUGUGAGAACAUUUAUAG
rnacentral:sRNA from 1 species